CCGAGGGGGUCAAAAGACCUGCUAACUCUUUAAUCUGGCAA
rnacentral:tRNA from 1 species